rnacentral:rRNA from 1 species
GACGAACGCUGGCGGCGUGCCUAAUACAUGCAAGUAGAACGCUGAAGGCGGAUCUUGCUUCUCUGGAUGAGUUGCGAACGGGUGAGUAACGCGUAGGUAACCUGCCUGUUAGCGGGGGAUAACUGUUGGAAACGAUAGCUAAUACCGCAUAAUAGUAGAUGUUGCAUGACAUUUGCUUAAAAGGUGCAAUUGCAUCACUACCAGAUGGACCUGCGUUGUAGUAGCUAGUUGGUGGGGUAACGGCUCACCAAGGCGACGAUACAUAGCCGACCUGCGAGGGUGAUCGGCCACACUGGGACUGGGACACGGCCCAGACUCCUACGGGAGGCAGCAGUAGGGAAUCGUCGGCAAUGGACGGGAGUCUGACCGAGCAACGCCGAGUGAGUGAAGAAGGGUCUCGGAUCGGAAAGCUCUGUUGUAAGAGAAGAACGAGUGUGAGAGUGGAAAGUUCACACUGUGACGGUAUCUGACCAGAAAGGGACGGCUAACUACGUG